GAUGAACGCUGGCGGCGUGCCUAAUACAUGCAAGUCGAGCGAACGGACGAGAAGCUUGCUUCUCUGAUGUUAGCGGCGGACGGGUGAGUAACACGUGGAUAACCUACCUAUAAGACUGGGAUAACUUCGGGAAACCGGAGCUAAUACCGGAUAAUAUUUUGAACCGCAUGGUUCAAAAGUGAAAGACGGUCUUGCUGUCACUUAUAGAUGGAUCCGCGCUGCAUUAGCUAGUUGGUAAGGUAACGGCUUACCAAGGCAACGAUGCAUAGCCGACCUGAGAGGGUGAUCGGCCACCCGGGAACGGAGACACGGACCAGACGCCUACGGGAGGCAGCAGUAGGGAAUCUGCCGCAAUGGGCGAAAGCCUGACGGAGCAACGCCGCGUGAGUGAUGAAGGUCUUCGGAUCGUAAAACUCUGUUAUUAGGGAAGAACAUAUGUGUAAGUAACUGUGCACAUCUUGACGGUACCUAAUCAGAAAGCCACGGCUAACUACGUG
rnacentral:rRNA from 1 species